GGCAAGGUCUCCAGGAAAUGGGGUGGUGCAAAAGACCCUCCAUGUUGUGCUUUUGUUUCUAAGGCUAUGGUGCCUCUGCUAUCCUUUUGUCUACAUAGACAGAUGAGCUGUUCCAGAUCUACAUAAAAUGGGAGGUGACGUUAUGGGACACGUAUGUCAUUGUCUCAAUUGUUCUUUCUGUUCACUUAUGUUAGCUCUUUUUGUUGGAUCUGUGUGUGGAUGUUGUGGAACAAAGGCCUUUCUCUCCUGCCUCUAAAUGCAUAAAUAUGCAAACCCUUGUUAUUGAUCUGAAAGGAUGUGGUGAAAUUUGCACACUAGAUCUUAACAUCCAACUUGAAUAAUAUCCAAAGCUUCCGUUUGUCCUUCAUAACAUUGUUUAUACAGAUGCACAAUACCUGCCUUCGCUGUGCAAAGGAGAAAGAGGUCUGCUGAGAGCUCCAGUUCAACAGACAACCUCAACAGUCACCUCUCUAUUUAGAAGUCCUGAAGUUGAACUGGCUUAAGUGCAACUACGUAUGGGCUAUACAGGUUUAAAAAAUAAUAAUAAAAAAAGGUUGAGAUGUCUGAAUCAGAUGUCUGAAUCUAGGCAGAUGAGAGGACAAGAAAAUAAUGCCAAAACUGAACUCUUUCAGAAGACAAGAGCCAAAAUGUACCCGGAAGAAAAAAAAAAGAUUAAGAGAGGUUCUGUAUAA
rnacentral:lncRNA from 1 species